CACCGCGGUUAUACGAGAGACCCAAGUUGAUUGCCCUCGGCGUAAAGAGUGGUUAAGAAAAACCCUUAAACUAAAGAUGAACGACUUCAAAGCUGUUAUACGCACACGAAUCCAUGAAAAUCAACUACGAAAGAGACUUUAAACCUGAGACCCCACGAAAGCUAUGACA
rnacentral:rRNA from 1 species